rnacentral:rRNA from 1 species
CAGCCGCCACGGUAAUACGUAGGGUGCGAGCGUUAAUCGGAAUUACUGGGCGUAAAGCGUGCGCAGGCGGUUCGUUAAGACAGAUGUGAAAUCCCCGGGCUUAACCUGGGAACUGCAUUUGUGACUGGCAAGCUAGAGUAUGGCAGAGGGGGGUAGAAUUCCACGUGUAGCAGUGAAAUGCGUAGAGAUGUGGAGGAAUACCGAUGGCGAAGGCAGCCCCCUGGGCCAAUACUGACGCUCAUGCACGAAAGCGUGGGGAGCAAACAGGAUUAGAUACCCCGGUAGUCCCUGUCUCUUAUAC